GGAACACAGAACUAUCUUCGAUACCACAGUAGGCUAGUUCAUACAUUUACUGUUUCAGGCCCGAAGCAUCCAAGACGCGGCUAAAGAUGCAACAUUUACUCAAGUGGGAGACAGCUACGUCCAGCAGGUACAAUUCUUGCACGACAGCAUCGACCCCGAACGUAUGCGUCUAAGUGGGGCAGAGUUCUUCUACCUCGACCGGAGGCUUCUGGUUUCGAUAGCCGGCUCAGUCAUUACAUACACAGUAAUCCUAGUGCAGACCAACCAAGGCCUCUCUCCUCGGGCUAGCACUCACAUGAUGAACAAAGGGACGUGAGUAGCCGCCCGCAACUCAUCAGUUUACGGGAAGACAGCACCAUUGUUAUACUCGAAAUGUCGUAUCGCUAGACUAUCUUGAACUGCUGUAA